CACUUUACCCUAAUUUAUCUACACCAUCCUUCUUUGACUUAUAUCAAACACACCUACCAAAAGUAACCAUGGAAAACACUAACGAGCUUCCUAUCCUUUUUUUUUCCAGAUCUUUGUUGAAGUUAUUACAGCCCCCAAUCUUGUUAUUAUUGUUCGUCAUCGCGUCUUUGAUCCGUUGCUGGUGGUUGCGCUGUGGUUGCUGCCGAAAUCUAACAACCUCAUUCGCCGUCAUUCUCAAAUUCAGUAGACAUAUGGAAAGAACAAUAUGCAAGUCUUUUGGAAGAGCGCAGACUAGAAAGGGAAGCAGCAGCAGAGGCGGCAGUAGCAGCAGCAGCUCGGGAAAAGAUGAUGCUUGACAGGAUGACGGCGAUUGAGCAAAGGCUUGCAAAAUUUCCACCAACUACUCUCGCUCCAUGAUCUUUGGAUGGGUAGUGAUAGUAAUCCCCAUGAGUGAGUAUUGGUUAUUUUGUGAUACUUCUCUUCAAUGGUGUUUCAUUUAAUUUUUGGAUGUAUAUUUGGGGGGAAUUUCUUUUGGAUGUAUAUUUGGGGUUGAAUUUAGAAUCUAAAACUAUUAGGUACUUUGUAAUAUCCUUACAUGAAUUAUGGCCAUUUUGGUGAAUGAUAUAUAUAUGGGGUUGAUGUUCGGAUUUUAA